UAAAUUAUAGCCUGUAAUUAUUUUUAUACAAUUUUUAAUGAUUUUUCCAAUUCAGAAUAGGGAAUUCCAAAAUCAAUCUGAUAUUGUCUCACAAAAAUUCAAAUUCCUACCAAAUUAGUCAAAUCCUAUUUUAUACCAUAACCAAAUCUAAAUUUAUUUAUUUCAUCCUUACAUUUACAAUUUCAAAAUGACAUACACAUAAGACAUCCUAGGUACAUGCCAUUACCAAUAAUUAACACACUUUACCUUAAUGAAUUCGGGAUCGGACUGAGAUGCUGAUUCAACGUACUAUCUUUACUUAACCUGCACACGGAAACAAACCGUACGCUGAGUAUGGUAUACUCAGUGGUAUUUCUAUAAUCCGAACACUUGAUAAUAUAACAAUUAAACUUAAAAUCACAAUGAUAAAUAUAACCAUUCAUUUAUUUAUUUUAUAGAUAAGUUUCAUUUACUUACCAUAAAAAUUCUAUACAAGUCAUAUAACAAACACAACAACAUAUUUGCUCAAUUCUUUUCAUUUGCUUACUUUAUAAAUUCUUUCAAUAUAUUCACAAUUCACUUGUAUUCACACUUUACUUCUUAACAAUAUACCGUUUUAAUUCAUUCUAACAUCAAUCAUCAUCCAUUUGAACUUCACUCAUUUCAUGAACCUUUUGGUUCAUGUUUUCAAUCUCAUAUCUCAAUUUCAAUUCUCAAUUCAAUUUCUCAUUUCAUUCUAAUAGUUCAAUCAAUCAAAUUCACUCGAUUUAUCUUUUCACUUAUUUACCCCUAUUAACAAACCCGGACUUUGACGGAUACACGGAUUCCAACCCAAACAAACCAAUACGGCACAUUGUGCCUAAAACGGUACACAGUACCUGAUCAGUAUACGACACAUAAAGUGUCUGAUACGACACACGAGGUGCCUGAUACGACACACGAGGUGCCUGAUACGACACAUAAAGUGCCUGAUCGAUAAAGCCUGCAAAUCCUGUACACUUCCAGAUCCUAUGGCAUGCCAAUUAUAUCCGACUCAGCCCGACUAGUUAAUAGGGUAUUUCAUUCACUUUCUCAAUUAAUAAUUCUUUCAUCAAUAUCUCAUUCCGAUAAUUACACAUAUUUACCCAUUUUCACAAUUCAUACAAUUUCAUUCAAUUCAACAAAUAUAUUUCAAUUACGCACAUUAAUUCAUAAUUCAAUACAAUUCAAUUCACUUUUCAAUACCAAAUAUUCAAAUAUGACAAUCUCAUAUAUUCAUAUCAAUUUCCUCAUAUUUCCAAUCAAUAUAUUUUUCAAUAUAACAUUCAUUCAAUAUUCAAAUUUCUACAUAAGUCAUAUAUAUUAUAUAAUUCAAUCAAUAUAAAUUCAUCACAUACCAAAUUAAUCCAUUUCCAUUAUAAACACAAUAAUUCUCACUUCAACAUUUAUUAAAUGUAUUGAAUAAAAAAAUAUAACAAUUAAUAACUAGGUUCGGAUUAUAGAAAUACAAACCGUAUUUUUUCGAGCUAACUCCCUUUGUCUUUGCCAUUUUUUUUUCCUUGCUUAGCCGAGGUUUCCCGAGACAACAUUAGCUACGGGAAUUAAAACAAUUCAUAUUCGUUAAUUCACUACUAAUUUAUAAUUAAUACAAUUUUUAUUCAAUUUCUACUUUAAUUUCAAUUUAAUCUUAACUAGAUUUACUUACUUUUUCUAUCUCAAUUCAUACUUCAUUUCUAUUCAAAUUUUGUCCAAACUCAUACUUAACUAUUAAAUUUCCAGCAUAUUUUCAUAAUUUCGAAUUUAUUUCCAUUUAAUCCCUAAAACUCAAAACUUAUAGCUUAGUUUACGAUUCAAUCCUUUAUUCAAUUCCAAUCAAAAUUUCUAUAAAAUAAACCCCCAAUUCCAUCAUUUUAUUCAACAUGAACCAUACUUAGAAAUCUAAUGACUUUCAAAAUUUCUACUUAAAACAAGUAGUAUUUAUCUCUAGGAUUCCAAAAACUCAAAAAUCAUAAGAAAAGGGGCUAAAUUGACUUACCAAUUUAACUUGGAACCUUUAAAACCUUAUUUUUCCCUUUUUCUUUUCUUCCUUUCUCCCUUCUCUGUUUCGUCCCUUGCUAUUCUGUUUCUUUCCUC
rnacentral:lncRNA from 1 species